AUGGCGGCAGCUCCCGGCCGGGCCGAGGGACACGGGAGGCGCCGCCCGGCCGCCCUCAGCAAAGAUGGCGGCGGCAGGCGCCCAUGCGUGCCCGGCGAGGGUCAGCACCGUGACGCCUUUCACUUCCGGGUGAGUGGCAGCGGGCGCCAUAUUGUCUUGUCCGUGAAGACGAGGAGUGAUAGCGGGGGCAGCGCGGCCGCGGAGCGGCGGCACCGGCGGAGGGAGGCGGGGGAGCGCUUGAAAUAUAGACUAUAUAAAGACUUAAAAGAUGUGGGAUCAAGGUGGACAACCUUGGCAGCAAUGGCCUUUGAACCAACAGCAGUGGAUGCAGUCAUUUCAGCACCAGCAAGAUCCAAGUAAGUAUAUAGAAAGCUUUGUGGAUUAAUUCUUUUAAUGUGUUGUCGUUUAAAUUUUUGACUCUUCGUAACAGAGUAUAACUCAUAUUUGCCUUUGUAGCUGCUCUCAAGAUAAUAUAUUUAUGAUGCUUUUCUGAACUAGAAAACUACAUUGGUUCCAAAUGUUUUCACAUAGUUAAUAUAUAAUACGCAAAUACAGGAAGAAACCUGAGUUGUCCUACACAAGUUACCAGCAUUUUGCCUGUCAUACAGAUCAACAAUUAGACCUUGUUUACCAGAUCUGUAUCCCUAUCAGUUCUUCAGCCAAGCUAAAUCCUUUGUUUGAGAGAAUCUGCUUUUUUAUUCAAUACCUGUGUGACAGAAGUAUUAAUGCAGAUUAUGUCUACAGAAAAAAACCUCACUGGAAGAGUAAUACCGUUUUUGAUUUAGGUUACAGCAGUGAUAAUCGUGAUCUCUUGUUUGGAAUUCUUUUCCCCACCAAAACCACCAAAUGCUUUAAACAGUAGAACAGAAUAUACCUUAAAUUGAGCAUGAGGUGGCAACCAUUCAAAAUACCAAGAGAAAUAGAGAAAUGGAUGAAAGGGCAGGUGUGUAUUUAAUAUUAAGGCAAAGUGAUCUGGCACACAGGUUUUACUGUCCCUGUAAUUUCUGUUAAAUUCACUGGAGAGUUUUCCUGACUUAUAAUAAGCAGAAGACAUACUAGUGUUCUUAUCUGAGAGUGUAAUUUAUUUGCUUACUGGUAGGAAUGGCAGUAAAGAAAAAAAUGGGAGACAGAACUGUAACAUGAUAUAUGGCUAGGGUUAUACAGAGUGUACAUUGAAAAAUAAUUUUCUAACUAUUUCUAGCUAUAUCUUUUUUUUGCUCUCAAAUCUUAAUGAAUUUGUAAUUUAAGGAUAUGUAUAUUAAUUUCUGAUGUCAAAAUUAGCUCACCUAUGAAAAAAGUGCAUUGAAAUAUAG
rnacentral:lncRNA from 1 species